GAGCUUCCCGCGAUGGGAGCGAGCAGGGAAACAGGCAGCGGAGGAGCACGGAGAGUAUUGACCAGUGAAUUUGUGCCCUCCUUGCUCUGUUUUGCCUGGAAAAGGCUGAGCUUUUCAUAUUCUGAAAAGCCAGAUGAACAGCACAAGCCAUUAGUCACCCAGGUAUUUACAGUGUUUUUCCUAUUUCCUUUCUCCCAUGGCCUCUGUGGUCAGCAGUAUAAAAUUCCUAGGCACUCCCACCUAAACACAAGUUUCCUGUUUAUGCUCUCAGUGGCUUUUAUGUUUAGCUGUUAAAACCCGUUGUCUAAAGAACCAUAAAACAAUAUGAACAGAGACUGCAGGAGAAGAGUUGUCGGCAAGAGCAACGCUGAGAUUCUCUGAAGCUGCAGGAAGGGAGAAGCUCCAGCUGACCAUCAAACCCACCCCUGGAGCCACUGUGAAUCCCUGCCCUGCCCCAGGCUUUCCUACACCUUGGUCAGACUGUACAAAUAAUUUAAAGUUAUGCUGACAUCAAGAACAUCCAAUUUAAUGCACUUUGUUGUGACCACAUGAGGUCAUAAUUUCUGAAGACACAAAAUAUGAUACCGGUCACACCACCAGAUUUAGAUAGCUCUUCCCAGAGCCUUUAGACAACUUUAUACCUAUAGCUAUAUCUAUAUCACCAGCCUAAAUUUCAGGCCCUUCAGCAGCCACACCAUGGGAACAGUGUGCUACCUGGAGCAUGGCACAGGCUGAGCAUGGGUUUGUCCACAGUGGGCUUCCAGAGCAUGUUUUUGAGUGUGUGUUUCACCUGAAAGACAUUGGGAUCAUCUCUUCCAGAUCCACUCCACAAAUGAAAAGAAAGCACAGGAAGCAGGGACAUUUGGGAGACUGGCUUUAGAAGCUGGCUCCUGGCCUGAACUAAGUCGCUGGUGUAGAUGCACCAGUGCUCAGGUUUGGCUCUUACUGUCAUGGUUCCUUCAGAUCCUCCACUUAAAUACACAGACUUCAGAGCAGUGUGCUCCCAAAUCUCGUCUUCUGACAAACUCUUUGCAGCCCUGUUCAAAUGAACCCCUUCCUGGCCUUCCCUGAAGAAGUUAACACAUGUAAAACUUCUUUCUUUUGUCACCAGCUGACAUUACUCUUUCCCACUCCAGAGAGUGGAAAAAUUUGAAUAUUUGAAAUAUUUGAAAGCACCUCCCAGGCCUGGCUGUCAACAGAAAAUUAACUUAGUCACAAAUCAAGCUAAUUUGUAGAUAGGAUGAAGCAUUACAAUAGGAGACACAUGGGUGAAAAAAACAAAAAGACAUGGGAAAUCUUUGAAGAAGUCAACACAAAGGAAGUACUUUAAUGUAGUCUUGAUUCUGCAAAUCACUUCUGUUUCAUGCUCAACAUCCCAGAGAGGCAUCAGCACCUGGAAUGUGCGUAGGCAGAAGGUAGACAGGGAGAUGACUCACUGAUGCAGGAAUACAAGAGGGGAAGCCAGAGCAUCAUCUGUGUGAACUUUUGAAGGGAAAAGAAAGUGUCUCUGCUGACAGAAGGUUACAAAUCUUCAUGCUUGUUGCAAUGUGUGCAUCCGACCACCAGCAUCAUUCUAAGAGCAGCCAAGGAAGCAUGAGAAGAAAAGACUGCUUUAAGAAAAACAAUCGGAAACCUUAAUUCUACAAGCAAUUCUACAAGCUUAAUUCUACAAACAAUAAAGCUUUUUACCAGUGCUGAGGCAAAACCAGACCUGGCAGAAUGUGAUCUUUGCCUUGCUACUAGUUCUAGGGUGAGAGCAAGCAGAAGUUUCCAGCAGAGUAUGUUUUGCUUCCACUACAAGUUACAAGGCCUCUAUGCAGCAAGUGAGGACCUCCUUGUGGCCAUUUCCCACCCCUACCAGCGACAAUGCACAAGUGUGUAAUUCGCUCUCAGUCUCUUAGGAAGUACAGCUUUCCCUUUCUCCUGUCACAGAAGUUCUAGUGCCAAUAAAAAUAUCAAAUAGGCAUAACAAAUCUGUUGUUCCUUUGUCAGGUCACUAACAGCUGUGUUCCUGAAAGCCAGAGAGCUUUCAGCAGCCCUGAGGGAGCCAGGCAGUCUCCAAGCUGGAAGUGCAGAGGGUGGAGUUGGGGCAGAGGA